rnacentral:tRNA from 1 species
GGGCCGUUAGCUCAGUUGGUAGAGCAACUGACUUUUAAUCAGUAGGUCGAAGGUUCGAACCCUUCACGGCUCACCA